UACAUGUGGGGCAAGCGUUGUUCGGAAUUAUUGGGCGUAAAGAGCUCGUAGGCGGUUUGUCGCGUCUGCUGUGAAAACUCGGGGCUUAACCCCGGGCCUGCAGUGGGUACGGGCAGACUAGAGUGCGGUAGGGGAGACUGGAAUUCCUGGUGUAGCGGUGAAAUGCGCAGAUAUCAGGAGGAACACCGGUGGCGAAGGCGGGUCUCUGGGCCGUAACUGACGCUGAGGAGCGAAAGCGUGGGGAGCGAACAGG
rnacentral:rRNA from 1 species